GGCUCAGGAUGAACGCUAGCGGCAGGCUUAACACAUGCAAGUCGAGGGGCAGCGGGUGUAGCAAUACAUGCCGGCGACCGGCGCAAGGGUGCGUAACGCGUGAGCAAUCUGCCCGUAUCAGGGGGAUAAGCGAUGGAAACGUCGUCUAAUACCGCAUAACACAUUGGAUGGCAUCGUCCGAUGUUGAAAGCUUCGGUGGAUACGGAUGAGCUCGCGAGACAUUAGUUAGUUGGCGGGUAACGGCCCACCAAGACCGCGAUGUCUAGGGGAACUGAGAGGUUGGUCCCCCACACUGGAACUGAGACACGGUCCAGACUCCUACGGGAGGCAGCAGUGAGGAAUAUUGGACAAUGGUCGGAAGACUGAUCCAGCCAUGCCGCGUGAAGGAAUAAGGUCCUAUGGAUUGUAAACUUCUUUUGAGAGGGAGCAAUAAGGUGUACGUGUACACCGAUGAGAGUACCUUUCGAAUAAGCAUCGGCUAACUCCGUGCCAGCCGCAGC
rnacentral:rRNA from 1 species